CUGCCUUCUCCUAUUCUGGAAAGCACUUUGGAGGCUGGAGAGGCGAUUGCAAGAUGAAAGCUUGGCUAUUUGCGUUGUUGUUGGUGGCGUUCAUGUGCAAGGACCCAGUCGAGAAUCUGAAGUGUUACAAAUGUGCAAACUUUCGUUGUAAUUUCAAGACAUUCUGUUGGAAUAAAGAAAAGUUCUGUUAUUCAUAUACUCCUUCACCGGGAUUCGCAGAAAAAGGAUGUACUCCAUUUUGCCUGAAAACUGCCGACUUAAGAUGUUGCACAACUAAUUUGUGCAACUAACUUUCUUUAGCUAAUCAGCACGCAUUGAUUAAAACAAAUCAUGCCAAACCGG